UACCGCAAACCAGCACGGGCGUCGAGGCAACUCUACGCCCGUGCACGCAUGUUAAGGGUUACAGAAAUAAU
rnacentral:sRNA from 18 species